UACAUGGGGUGCAAACGUUGCUCGGAAUUAUUGGGCGUAAAGCGCGCGUAGGCGGUUACUUAAGUCGGAUGUGAAAGCCCUCGGCUUAACUGAGGAAGUGCACCCGAAACUGAGUAGCUAGAGUACGAAAGAGGGUCGCGGAAUUCCCGGUGUAGAGGUGAAAUUCGUAGAUAUCGGGAGGAACACCGGUGGCGAAGGCGGCGACCUGGGACGGUACUGACGCUGAGACGCGAAAGCGUGGGGAGCGAACAGG
rnacentral:rRNA from 1 species